UUUCAUUGCCCUAAUUUCAAUGUUCUACGUUUUUCUUCACAUUAUAAAAUCAAGACAAUUUCCAUCACUGCAUCUUUCUUGUUAACCCUCAAAUAAAUAAAAGUAGAGUUGUAAAAGUACAUGAAUUUUAGCAAAGUUGGUUAUAUCUGCUAUAAAAUACUCCCCUUCGGUUUUUCGCCAAUGAGUUUUCCUUGUACAGUGGAGCACUGUCUUGUCAAUCCCUGUUCUCAUUCAUAGAGGGAGACAGAAACCUUGAACAAGGCUCGUCAAAACUGGUCUUCACUAACGAUUUGGCUCCUGCUCACCUAGGUUAUGUUUCAAGGUAUAUGCAUGAACUCACCCCAUCCCUUUUCUUCCUUUUCUUAAUUCAUUUUUAUAUUUUAGAUGUUCAAACUUUGAGAUACUAAGAAAACAAAGAAAAGGGCUCCAGGUUCUAUAUAUGUUCUAUUACUGAUCGAUAUUCCUUCUACAAAUUUUCAUGCGUCUUCUUUGUCUUUUUAAUUUUUUUGUUGUUUCUUUUCCCCAUUUGGCUGUAAUGAUUUGAAGUGCUGAGACUAUUUUUCAUGGGCUGAAAGGAUUUUGAGAAAAUGAUGAUUUUUGCAGCAGCUGUAAGUUUUUUCGCGAAAAUUUCUGUUGACGUAUGUUUUGACAUGAGGAUAUCUCGUGUUUCCCUUGUUUACACUGUAUAUCUCCACUCUUUAAAUACGAAAUGAUAAUUUUAUUUGUUAAAAGUAAACAUUUCAGAUUUAUGCAUGUAUUGAAAUUUUAAGAAUCUUCACUAUAUUUAACACAAGAAUGUUGUGAGAUGUUUUUUGAUUUUAUUCUUCUAUCCUCUUGCUUAGCCAUAUGCUUAUCUAUGUCUUGGUUUAUUCGUAGUUCUGCCUUAUUAGCAUGUUUAUUGUUAGCAAUUAUUUUAUUGAAUAGAGAUGUCAUAUUAUUUAUUAGCAAUUAUUGUAUUUGCAAGCUUAUUGUUAGCAAUAUUGUCAUUGUCUAUGUCUUGCUAGUGCCAUUAAAAUUGUGAAUUGUCUAGCAUGUUUCAAGUCCCAAAGAGCAUCAUAUAGAUAUGACUAGUCAUCAUUAGAAAAUUCCAAAAGUACGUAUUCUGCAAUUAAAAAUGGUGGCCUAACACAUGUAGCAUGCAUAUAUUUGAUUCUACAAGUGAAGCAUAUUAAUAGUAUUAUAGGUUAUGUGUACUCGUUUAUUAAAGGUUGAAGGCUUUGGAUUUGGUUUUGCAAAUU